GCCUGGGUGGCUCAGUUGAUUAAGUGACCGACUUUAGAUCAGGUGAUGAUCGCAUAGUUUGUGGGUUCAAGCCCCACACCAGGCU
rnacentral:tRNA from 1 species